GACGAACGCUGGCGGCGUGCUUAACACAUGCAAGUCGAACGGAAAGGCCCUGCUUUUGUGGGGUGCUCGAGUGGCGAACGGGUGAGUAACACGUGAGUAACCUGCCCUUGACUUUGGGAUAACUUCAGGAAACUGGGGCUAAUACCGGAUAGGAGCUCCUGCUGCAUGGUGGGGGUUGGAAAGUUUCGGCGGUUGGGGAUGGACUCGCGGCUUAUCAGCUUGUUGGUGGGGUAGUGGCUUACCAAGGCUUUGACGGGUAGCCGGCCUGAGAGGGUGACCGGCCACAUUGGGACUGAGAUACGGCCCAGACUCCUACGGGAGGCAGCAGUGGGGAAUAUUGCACAAUGGGCGGAAGCCUGAUGCAGCAACGCCGCGUGCGGGAUGACGGCCUUAGGGUUGUAAACCGCUUUCGCCUGUGGCGAAGCGUGAGUGACGGUAAUGGGUAAAGAAGCACCGGCUAACUACGUG
rnacentral:rRNA from 1 species